ACAAGUACCGUGAGGGAAAGUUGCAAAGCACUUUGAAGAGAGAGUUAAAGAGGACGUGAAACCGGUAAGGUGGAAACGGGUAGAGUCGGCGUAUCUUUCAAGUAUUCAUUUACAUUAUUUUUGUGUUGUGAUCUCUGAGCUCCGGAUUGGGACAGAGGGAAGCAGCAUAAUUGUCUGUGAUGCAUUUACUUGUUUGGUGCUUGGGGAUGUUUGAGGCAGAUUUGUAACCGCCGUUUUGAGGCCAGCUUGCUGGCACCCAAACGGUGUUAGCAUUUUUUGUCUUGGGCAUUUGAGUAUGGCUCACGUGUAUUUAUUGGACAGAUCUGAGUGUAAGUUACGGUCGCAUGCGACACGUGCUUUUCAAUUAGUUCGGUCCAGUUAGUUCGGUCCAGUUAAUGCUCUCGUACUCGUUCCCCAUGUAAAAGCCGGUCAUCUAUCCGACCCGUCUUGAAACACGGACCAAGGAGUUUAUCGUGUGCGCAAGUUUUUGGGUGUUUGAAAGUAAAUGACUCUUUAGAGUCUGAUGUGCGAUCUUGUAAAAAAGUGUAGCAUGGCCCCAUUCUAACUGUUUACAGUAGGGUGGCGGAAGAGCGUACGCGGUGAGACCCGAAAGAUGGUGAACUAUUCCUGAGCAGGACGAAGCCAGAGGAAACUCUGGUGGAAGUCCGAAGCGGUUCUGACGUGCAAAUCGAUCGUCUGACUUGGGUAUAGGGGCGAAAGACUAAUCGAACCAUCUAGUAGCUGGUUCCUUCCGA
rnacentral:rRNA from 1 species